GGUUGCGCACGCCUAGCAACAGCAUACCAAGCGGCGCACCAUCCUGAGCGAAGCUGGAAUAGUCACAGUGUGCAUCGACAGAGAAAUUAAACGACUAUUUCGCUCAGAGAAUCUGGAGACCUCUGAAGUUUUCAUUUUAUCUGCACUACAGGUUUCAGAAAUUGAUCCAGCCAUGUCAAAGCGAGAACGUCACACUGUAGAGCAAGAACUUUUGAGGGCAAGACAAGAACUUUUAAGGACAGAGCAAGAACUAAGAAGACAAAGGCAAGACAUACAGACUCAAAGGGAAAGACUAAGGACUAUUUUGAGAAGAAUAAGAAAUGCAUACCUAUCACUUAAGUGCCCAGGAUGUAAAAACACUUUCACCUCAAAGGGGAAUCAUUGUCCUAAAGUAUUAAGAUGUGGACACAGCCUUUGUAAGGUAUGUGUCCCAGUGUAUACAGUGAAAUGUACCUGCUUCUGUCCUGUAGACAAUGUGGAGACUAUUGUAGAGAGAAAACUAGCCACUAACAAACAAGUGGCAGCUGUUUUGGAGAGACUGGAACUUCUGUUUUCAAAUACCAAUAGUCUGGAACUCUAAACCAGUACUGAUAUGUCAGCUCAGCUGAUCACACAAGACAUCUCGUACUGAAUGUAAGCUUUGACUACUUGUUUUUCUUUUAGUUACUGUUCACAAUUUUAUUGAAAGUAAUUUCCAUUCUAAAGAUGAUUCUAUACUGGUACUUUAGCUUCUCUGCUGAACUAUUGAGUCAACAUUUUUGUUCUCUAGACAUUUUAAUGAAUCACUUUCUUCCUUUUUUUCAAGGAUGAAUAACUUAAAAUAAAGAAACAUUUAUUAAACUCAAAGUGAUUUUAUGUUAUUAUAUCUUUGUUUAUUUCUGCACUGUUGAAGUAGGCUAUUUAUAAAUAUUCACAUACUUCAGCUACUACAAAUUUGCAUUUUGAUUCAUUUGACAUUUGAAUUGUGUUUGUGAUACCAAAAAGGAUACAUUUAAAGUUUUUAAUUUUUUAAAAAUAGUAUUUAGAGAUUUUUAAACAAAACUUGUCAUUCUCUGAUUAUAGCAAACCUCAAAUCUAUUUCUAUGACAUUUUUCAACUCCAUUGUUUGCCUGAACAUGGUUGAAAGUUUGAAUGCUACAAUGGUCAGUGUAAGAUUAAUAUUACAUCUGAAUAAGUAAGAAAGGUGGAGACAAUUAAGCUUUCAUUUUUAGACCUUUACAUUUAGAGGACAUGAAAACAAAAUGAAAUGUUCAUUUGUCAACUUGUCCUCCAAGUAACAUGUACAAACUACUUUUAACAAUUUUGAUAAAAGUAAUUCAACUUAUUUCAUUAAAUGUAUGCCUUUUAAUACUAUAUACUUUUAUUUCUUUGCUUAACUAAUUAGUCCACAUUUUAUUCCCUUGUUAUCCUUUUUUUUCAAUUCUAAUGAAAAACUAUCACUCAAGUGUUGAACUUAAUAAAAACAAAAAAACAAAGUGUUUUGCUGUCAUUUGAUUUGGUGUGACUUCUGUGUUUGAUUUUGUGUUACUAAAUGUUUUGAAUUUAAUGUGACUUCGGUGUUUAAUUUUGUGUUACUAAAUGUUUUGAAUUUGGUGUGACUUCGGUGUUUAAUUUUGUGUUAUUAAAUGUUUUGAAUUUGGUGUGACUUCUGUGUUUAAUUUUGUGUUACUAAAUGUUUUGAAUUUGGUGUGACUUCAGUGUUUAAUUUUGUGUUAUUAAAUGUUUUGAAUUUGGUGUGACUUCAGUGUUUAAUUUUGUGUUAUUAAAUGUUUUGAAUUUGGUGUGACUUCGGUGUUUAAUUUUGUGUUAUUAAAUGUUUUGAAUUUGGUGUGACUUCAGUGUUUAAUUUUGUGUUAUUAAAUGUUUGGUUAUAUGCUA